rnacentral:rRNA from 1 species
CAAGUUUUCCUUGGGUGCCCCUGCGGAAGGAUCAUUAACGAAGAGGCUACGCCACUUCAUGCGAG